GCGGCGACCCUGGUGAGGAGCGCGGCGCGGGAGGCACGUUCCUUAGCUCCGCCGCGGCCGUCCUCCGCGGCUCGAGGACUCCGCUUCCUUCCCUCCCCUCCCCUGCGCUCCGGCCUGGGGUCUCGGCGCGGGGAGCGGAGGGAAGGGACGAAGGAGGAGUAGGUGAAAGCGGGGUGAGGGGCGGAAGGGUCCCGGCGCGGGGUGAGGCGAGGGCUGCCUCUUGUUCUCCCGCCGCUGCCGCCGUCUCCUGGUCGGGUGCCGCGGCCAGAGGCGCGCGGGGCUGCCGAGGCACCCGCACUAUGCAGGCAGACUGCCGGCCGCCGCGAUGGCGAGCCGGGCGGUGGUGAGAGCCAGGCGCUGCCCGCAGUGUCCCCAAGUCCGGGCCGCGGCCGCCGCCCCCGCCUGGGCCGCGCUCCCCCUCUCCCGCUCCCUCCCUCCCUGCUCCAACUCCUCCUCCUUCUCCAUGCCUCUGUUCCUCCUGCUCUUACUUGUCCUGCUCCUGCUGCUCGAGGACGCUGGAGCCCAGCAAGGCAAAUACUGUGGUCUGGGGUUGCAAAUGAACCAUUCAAUUGAAUCAAAAGGCAAUGAAAUCACAUUGCUGUUCAUGAGUGGAAUCCAUGUUUCUGGACGCGGAUUUUUGGCCUCAUACUCUGUUAUAGAUAAACAAGUAAGUACUGCCCAGCUGGUUGUCUGCUUCCUUUUGCUGAGAUAUCUGGAACAAUUCCUCAUGGAUAUAGAGAUUCCUCGCCAUUGUGCAUGGCUGGUGUGCAUGCAGGAGUAGUGUCAAACACGUUGGGCGGCCAAAUCAGUGUUGUAAUUAGUAAAGGUAUCCCCUAUUAUGAAAGUUCUUUGGCUAACAACGUCACAUCUGUGGUGGGACACUUAUCUACAAGUCUUUUUACAUUUAAGACAAGUGGAUGUUAUGGAACACUGGGGAUGGAGUCUGGUGUGAUCGCGGAUCCUCAAAUAACAGCAUCAUCUGUGCUGGAGUGGACUGACCACACAGGGCAAGAGAACAGUUGGAAACCCAAAAAAGCCAGGCUGAAAAAACCUGGACCGCCUUGGGCUGCUUUUGCCACUGAUGAAUACCAGUGGUUACAAAUAGAUUUGAAUAAGGAAAAGAAAAUAACAGGCAUUAUAACCACUGGAUCCACCAUGGUGGAGCACAAUUACUAUGUGUCUGCCUACAGAAUCCUGUACAGUGAUGAUGGGCAGAAAUGGACUGUGUACAGAGAGCCUGGUGUGGAGCAAGAUAAGAUAUUUCAAGGAAACAAAGAUUAUCACCAGGAUGUGCGUAAUAACUUUUUGCCACCAAUUAUUGCACGUUUUAUUAGAGUGAAUCCUACCCAAUGGCAGCAGAAAAUUGCCAUGAAAAUGGAGCUGCUCGGAUGUCAGUUUAUUCCUAAAGGUCGUCCUCCAAAACUUACUCAACCUCCACCUCCUCGGAACAGCAAUGACCUCAAAAACACUACAGCCCCUCCAAAAAUAGCCAAAGGUCGUGCCCCAAAAUUUACGCAACCACUACAACCUCGCAGUAGCAAUGAAUUUCCUGCACAGACAGAACAAACAACUGCCAGUCCUGAUAUCAGAAAUACUACCGUAACUCCAAAUGUAACCAAAGAUGUAGCGCUGGCUGCAGUUCUUGUCCCUGUGCUGGUCAUGGUCCUCACUACUCUCAUUCUCAUAUUAGUGUGUGCUUGGCACUGGAGAAACAGAAAGAAAAAA
rnacentral:lncRNA from 1 species